AUUCAGCUGAUGAGUUUCAAAUAUGACGUAAUGCGCGUCGUGGAU
rnacentral:hammerhead_ribozyme from 1 species